GAAGGAGUAAGACGUAUUCCAUGAGUUGCUAGCCCUUUUGAACCACGGUUGAAGCCCGUGGCCCCUUCG
rnacentral:tRNA from 1 species